rnacentral:lncRNA from 1 species
AGCCCGUACAGGUCUCUUCUCAUCUACCCCUAAAAAAGGUCUCUUCUAAUCUGGUUCGAUACCCACCAGCUCUUAAUCUCGUUCGAUCCCCACCAGACCCCUCGUCCACAUGCGCCAUUUCUCCUGAUUUGCUGCAGGCGAAGAAGAUGUCGCUUGUGCCAUCAGGAAACUAAUCGCAAGGGAGAAGACGACGUGGUGCUCAACCUAAUCAUGGUCGGCGGGUAGCGGCCAUAGCUGAUGUGCUGGAUGCUGGCGGGUCGGAGGAUGCAGUGAUGGAGCUCACGGUGAAGGGCGCACCGAUUCGUGGGUUUGCUGGGCGAACUUGCGAUAGAGAACGGUUGGAUCUGAGGCACGGGACAGCGGGGAGGCACCGGGGCUAUGGUCUGCUAGGCGUUGUGGUUCUAGUGUUCGCUCAGCCGCAGCUGGAGAGUUUGGUAUGAAACUAUGAAUCCCUUCCUUUUCUGUCAUCAUUCUGUCAAUUCUCCUCUUGCAUGGAAGUACAUAUAUGUAUGUAAUAAGUUCAUUUAUUUUGUUUCACACUAAAAUUUAAUUAGAAGUAAGGUGAUAAUUUUGAAGGUUUUUUUCAUAAGCAUCUGUUUUAAAAUGAAGCAUUAAGUAUCUUCUUGUAAAUUUAAUCUGCCAAAUAUCCUUGUACAUAAUUGUUUUGAAGGAUUUCAUUAACAUGUUGUUCUGUACUGCGUAUGACAUUGAAGAUUUUCUCAUGUUUUCUUAAACUGGAAAGGUCAUAUGAGAAUAGAAGUUUUGUUACCAAAAAUAAUAAAGUGACAAAAGUACAUGUAUGAAUGUAUUUCAGAAAACAUUGCAAUAUGACCUACUUUUGCUAGUCUUGUAUACAUGUCAUUUCGAGCUAUUUAAGAUGUCAAGCAACCUGGAGUGAACAUUAGUUUGAUUGAUGCUUGUACUGAUUUGGAAGUAAUGUAAUUAGUUAGUGGAUUUGCUUUGCUGCUAAUUCUAAAUGCAGGAACGUUGUUUAUAGUCAAAAUGGCAACACCAGGCAAAUCAAUCCAUCCGUAUGUGGAAUAUCAGAGAGCCUACUGGUCAGCUUAUAUGGUGUUUUGCUAUUUAAGCUUAUGAAGCAAGGUAUGUUCCUCUCUAUUGUGUUUUCAUCAUACAAAUUAGGAAAAACAUAGUUUCUUCACAUUGUGAAGUGAAGUGUAAUAUGUAGAACUCUGGUCUAUUAAGUAUAUCUGAGCUGAAUAUCCAGCCUUUUGACGAAUGUGGUGGUAGUGGUGAUCUAAUAUAUGUUCCGGUAAUUUUUACUACUUAGCAAAAGUAGUCAUAAAAUAUAACAAUGUGACGAAAGUAUAAUAUAUGGAGUAAAUAAGAAUUAUUUUUAUUUUACAUUAGUGAUUAAACGUGAGUCACUAUUCAUGAGUCGAAUUAUCAAUGUUUCAUACCUGUCAAGAAGUUCCUGUGUUUCACGUAUAUCUAGAUCUGUAUAUAUAUUCUUGUGGCACUUUCUGACUUUAGGAACAAACCUAUCUAAUCAACAAUGGAUGUCUCUGGUUAUCUAUUUUCUUUGUAAAUAAUAGAAGUGCUUGUAAGAUUAUUGGACUUACCAUUGAAUUUAUGCACAUUUGUUAUGGUCACAAUAAGGAUAGUUUGGUUGCCAAUCACAUCCAUGGUUGAAGGAUAAGUAAACUUUUCACAUAAUAUGACUUUGAUUUUAUCAUCCUUGAGGUGUUUUAUUUGAAUAAAUAGUGCUAACUACAUGGAGGAGGUUAGAUGAAAAUUUAAGGCACGCAUAUGCAUUAUGCACUUACUCUGGUAUUAGAAUUUCAAAUUCAUGGAUAUAUGAAGACUGUAUGUUAUUUCUUCUUAUUCUCGUUUCCAACCGCUUCAUUUGUGCCCAUAAUCCAAUUGUAUCUGUAAAUAUGGAUAUUAAUUAUAUAACAAUUAGAAAUAUUAGUUAGUUGAAAAUAUUAAUUGCAACAAUAACAUACCUCAGCAUUGUAUUUUUUCCCGUUUUUGUAUUUUGCCCUUGGUAGCAUACCCGAAGUAAUAAUCUGGAAAGCCUUUUAGAGAUCCUUUAACCUCCUUUUCCAUUGUACUAUAUAUAUAGAGAGGUGUUGCUAAAAGGAGGGCACGAUAGGGCCGGUCGGGGGCCUUUCUGCCCACGGCCUGGCAAGAGGGAAGGGAUUUCCUUCUUAAUUCUUGCUUUAUUAAAUUGAUACAUCUCCUCUCUUUAUAUAGAGAGGUUUACUUGACUCUCAAACAAGGCUUACUUGACCCCUAAGCAAGCGACCCUUAUCUCUAAUUAACCCUAAGACUAAUGGGCCCAUUACGUACUCUAACACUACACCCCACCUGGACAUGCAGCUUGUCCUCGAGCUGCAGCCUAACCAACUUAUAACCAUGACUCGACGCAACACAAACCUAACACCUAAAAACAAGACUUUUACAUCUUGGCUUGUUUUAUUAUUCUCAACCUGAAAUAGACUAGGACGCUUUAUUUUGGACGUGCACGUGUACAGCCACAUGGAUCCCAUGGACACCACCUGGACAAAAGGAGUGCAUGUGUAUGGCUGUUUGUCUGCACUGCACAGGGAAGAGUGCAGGGCUUGCGAUGGAGAAUGAUGAGGAGGGGUGCGCCCCCCCAACCGUCGAUGUCGCAGACUUUGAGGUCGCUGCCCGCGGGGAAAACAACAUGCCGGCCGCCCGUGGGGAAAACCACAUGCCCAAGAUCCCCGACGCAGCGGACGAGAUCGAGGUCCUUUGCGCAGCGAAGGGCAACUUGGAGGAGCGGCAGCUGCAGACCACGCAUCUCCCGCACACGCCGACGCGCUAGGAGGCCGCGCGCAGCAGCCUGCAGCCUCACCGCCGCUGACACGUGGUGGGUAGCGAUCCAAGACGGAAGCGGUGACGGCGACGGCAGGGACUUGAUCUGCUGGAUGUGGACGCCCUGGGAUGGCGGCGGCGCUGAUGGGAACGAGGUCGUCGCACUCCCGUCGUAGGGCAUCCCAUACUGGGCGGCGGAGCUGACCGGCGGUGGCUGCUGCAGCUGCAGCGGCUGCUGCGCUGUCGCGCCGGGCGCGGCGGAGGCCGCCAGGAGCGGCGGCUGCCACUGCAGCCAGGGCUGGGCGGUGGUGGCGAUGGAUGGUAGUUGCAGCGGCCCGGCGAGUGCGGCGAAGGCUGCCUGAUGCGGCGGCUACCACGGCAGCCACGGCGGCGCGGGGGCGGCGAUGGGCGGCGCAACCGAGUGCGGCCCGUAGGACCCGGCCAAGAACAGGUGGAUCUCCUGGACCGCCUGGAUUAGGUCCCGCAGCACCCCGGACACGUCCUCCCAGGUGAGGACGGUGGGGGCGGGCGCGACAGAGGAUCCCGGCGCGGGCAGGAGCGGGGUGACGGUCGUGGUGGUCACCGGAGGCGACAAGGUGACCGGCAGCGGAAGAGACGGGCUUGGCGGUGGUGAAGACAUGAUCGAGCCGAAGCUAGCUGAUAUCAAAUUGUUAUGGUGUUGCUAAAAGGAGGGCACGAUAGGGCUGGUCGGGGGCCUUUCUGCCCACGGCCUGGCAAGAGGGAAGGGAUUUCAUUCUUAAUUCUUGCUUUAUUAAAUUGAUGCAUCUCCUCUCUUUAUAUAGAGAGGUUUACUUGACUCCCAAGCAAGGCUUACUUGACCCCUAAGCAAGCGACCUUUAUCUCUAAUUAACACUAAGACUAAUGGGCCCAUUACGUACUCUAACAAUAUAUAUAUAUAUAUAUAUAUAGACACACACACAAAUAAUAAUAAUAAUAAUAGCGUCAUUGACCAUUGGAUGUUAUUUUGUAGAUUUCACAACUUUAAUUGUUACAUGCAUAAAUAGAUUGCUCAUUGAUCCUCCGAAAGUGUCUACUCCAGAUAGUAGAAUGAAUUUUUUAUGCUAUGUUAACAAUGGAGUAUACUUGGUAAUUGUUUUUAAAAAGAUAGAACAAUUUGUAGUUAUUACAUAUGUAGAGAAUAGAUCUUCAUCCAUCAAAAUCAUACCUAAGCUUGUGUUGAUAAAUUAAGUGUAAGCCAUUCUUGUGCCUUGAAAGGGAAUAAAAUAUAGUUGUAAAUUGAUCAAUUACCUAAGACGUUUAGGUAUGAAAUAAUUGCCAAACUUGAUGAUACAGGUGGAAAGUGGCGGGACUUCGUUGAUGUCAAGUUGGGUGUCACCUGAAGCGCUUGCGGGUGGCUUGGCCACGUGUUGACUUGCACGCCGCACUGUCCUCAUACCGGCUGUCUUUGAUUCUCUUGGAUAGCGUGUUGGAGUCACAGUUUUAGCAACCAUUAAAUUGAGAUAGGAAGAAGAUGAACAAAGCUUAGAACUGUGAGUCAAAGAUGAGUCAGAGCUUGAGCAGCACGGACAUGCCACCUCGUACUCGUCAGCUAUGGUGACAUGUUCGUGGAUGUGUCUCAGACCGAAGUCAUUGCCGCUGGUCCGUGGUUCCAUGCAUCCUUGUUUGGAUUGGAGGCAACAGAGCGUGGGUUGGAGUCAACGGCCCUUGGAGAUGUGCAAUAGCAAGGCAAAGAAGCGGACGAAGGACAAAGCAGCGGUCUCUGCGUCCUAGUGGCUGCAUCCUGCUCGUCAAUAUCUCACCGUAGUCACUGCCGCCAUGUCAUCCCAUGUAGAUUUGGACCUGACCUCCUCUCAUUCUCCUAGGACGCUUGAGCGCUUCAGCCGGCGCUUCACUGAUGACGACGAAGGCAGGAUCAGAAGGGGCACGUUGCAGCCCCAAAGAAUUGGAAACCCUAGCAGCCGAGUUUCUCCUUAACGUGUGUGGUAAGGAACGUGAAGCCUGCUUAAGAUUUGAAGAGGAGCACGUGAGCGAAGAG